UGAGAUGUUGGGUUAAGUCCCGCAACGAGCGCAACCCUCAUCCUUAGUUGCUAUCAGGUAAUGCUGAGUACUUUAAGGAAACUGCCAGUGAUAAGCUGGAGGAAGGUGGGGAUGAUGUCAAGUCAUCAUGGCCUUUAUGGAGUGGGCUACACACGUGCUACAAUGGUGUCUACAAUGGGUUGCAAGGUGCGCAAGCUUAAGUUAAUCCCUAAAAGACAUCUCAGUUCGGAUUGUACUCUGCAACUCGAGUACAUGAAGUUGGAAUCGCUAGUAAUCGUGGAUCAGCACUGCCACGGUGAAUACGUUCUCGGGUCUGGUACACACUGCCCGUCACGCCAUGGGAAUUGGUU
rnacentral:rRNA from 1 species